rnacentral:lncRNA from 1 species
GCUGGGCAUGGUGGUGCACGCCUGUAAUCCCAGCUAUUCGGGAGGCUGAGGCAGGAGGAUUGCUUGAACUGGAGGUUGCAGUGAGCUGAGAUUGUGCCACUGCACUCCAGCCUGGGUAACAGAGUGAGACUCUGCCUGAAAAAAAAAAAAAAGUUUCUUGAUCUGUCAGGGGUAAAAGACAUGUUUAAAAGUUGUUUAUGCUACACAUCAGUUGGGAUUGGAAAGAAAAGAAAACUUUUUUUUUUUUUUGAGAUAGAGUUUUGCUCUUGUUGCCCAGACUGGAGUACAGUGGUGCGAUCUUGGCUCACUGCAACC